CCUACGGGAGGCAGCAGUGGGGAAUUUUGGACAAUGGGCGCAAGCCUGAUCCAGCCAUGCCGCGUGUCUGAAGAAGGCCUUCGGGUUGUAAAGGACUUUUGUCAGGGAAGAAAAGGGCGGGGUUAAUACCCCUGUCUGAUGACGGUACCUGAAGAAUAAGCACCGGCUAACUACGUGCCAGCAGCCGCGGUAAU
rnacentral:rRNA from 1 species